rnacentral:tRNA from 1 species
CGCGGCGCUCGUGGCGGCGCGGAAGUACGACGUCGCCUUCGACGCGACGAAGGCGAAGGGCGGCGCCUCGGUCCGGUCGACUCGGGUCGCCGCGGCC